rnacentral:rRNA from 1 species
AGUCACUGACAUUAGAUACCCGGGUAGUCCCAGCCGUAAACAAUGUGCGUUAGGUGUGUCGGUAACCACGCGUUACUGAUGCGCCGAAGAGAAAUCGUGAAACGCACCACCUGGGAAGUACGGUCGCAAGGCUGAAACUUAAAGGAAUUGGCGGGGAGCACCACAACAGGUGGAGCCUGCGGUUUAAUUGGAUUCAACGCCGGACAUCUCACCGGAUAAGACAGCUGAAUGAUUGUCAAUCUGAAGGUUUUACAUGACUAGUUG